UCCCACAGUGCCCAUCUUCACAGUGAGCAAAGCCACACCUCACAUCAUCACCACAGGAGGAUUGUCUCAUGACCGUGGAGUCCUUGCAUUUAUAUAAAAAAAAUAGUCAUGAUAACUAGGAAAGGCUGUCUCUUCAGGCAUUCAACCCAGUCUGGCUAGGCAGGUUUCACACUGUAGUCUAAGCUGGGCUUGAACUUGUGAUUCUCCUGCCUCAGCCUCCUGAGUGCUGGUAUUACAAGUAUGUACCACUAUAUCUGGUAGCUCCCCCUCUUUCUAGCAUUUGCUUCUCCCCCACCCCGUGUAUGUGUGCGACAUGAUGCCAUGAUGUGCUUGUGGAGGUCAGCUCUCUCUCUCCCUUCUUCCACUAUGUGGAUCCUUGGGAAUUGAACCAAGGUCGUCAAGCUUGGCAGUUCAGAUGUAAGUGCACUUAUCGCCUGAGCUAUCUCAUCAGCUCCCCUAUCCCUGCCAGAGAUAGAGGCUCCUGAUGUUGGCCUAUGAAAUCUUGGGGAUCAAGCCAUCCUUCCAUUUGAGCUCUGGAGUUGAUGGGCCUACCCCAGUAGGCCCCAUGCCACCAUGCCCGGCUGGUACUCAUCCAUCUCCACUUUACAAAUGAGGAGCUGAGACUCAGACAACACAGCAAGCCCAAGAUCACAGGGCCUAAAAGUGGCGGAGGGUGGGAUGUGAGAGGCCACAGCACAGUCGUGGAUCACCUAGUGGGCUUUGGGCGAAGGCAGAUCUCAGUUCAGCCAUUUUCUGAUUGGAGCCCUCUGUUUGCUCAUCUGAGAGAGUAAAGGAGAAGGAAGGCCUGGCACAAAACUAGGCAGCACAACUUCCUUCAGUGCUCUGACCUCAUACAUCAAGCCAGGCUACCACCUUCUCAACCAGGAAUGCGAAGGGCAAGACAGAUCUUCCUGGCACUGAUGAGCUAUCAGAGAAUCCCAACUGACCAGCAGGCCUGUGUAUUCCCUGGACCAAACCAGUGGUCAGAAAAAUGGCUUGUGUAGUUCUUUAAUUAAAAAACUCUGGUUUAAUAUUUAUAUUAAUUUUCUCAGAUCUGAAUUGGAUAGGUCAAAGGCUACCGCACACGGACUGGGGUGAGGCUCCUCUGGUAACAUGCCUGCUGCUCAAACAUAGAAAUCUGAGUCUGAGUCCCAAGAAAUUCCCUGCCCAGUCAUCCUGUCCAAAUCAGUGCGCUCCAAGUUCAGUGGGGACCCUGUCUCAAAGAAUGAAGUGGAAAGCGACAGAGGAAUACAACCAGCAUCUAACUGUGACCAUCACACAGGUUCUCUCCUUAAUGCCUUGCCUCAAAAGGCUAGACCUGGCUGGCAUCUGCUUGAAGGGCACAGAGUCUCUCUGCAGUCAUCUCCUGUAGCUGGAAAUCAUACAGAACAAAUU
rnacentral:lncRNA from 1 species